GGUACAUCACAAGGUCUUGUGGCUGCGAAAUCGCGAUUGGCCAAGAAAAACCUAACCAUACCUCGUCUGGAACUGGUUUCGGCGCACAUGGCCACCAACUUAGUCCAUAAUGUUCGAGAAGCGUUGGUGGGAUUCCCCGUGAACCAAGUAUUCGGCUGGUUGGACAGCACAGUAGCUCUUCAUUGGAUACGCGGAGGGGGAGAUUUCAAACAGUUCGUGGGAAAUCGUGUGCGCAAGAUUCAAGAGAAAGAUUACAUCCAAUGGAACCACGUCCCGACCAAAGAAAAUCCGGCCGACCUUG